rnacentral:rRNA from 1 species
AACGUAGGAGGCAAGCGUUAUCCGGAGUUACUGGGCGUAAAGCGUGCGUAGGCGGGUUGGUAAGUGGGUGGUGAAAGCGCUCGGCUAAACCGGGCGAGUGCCAUCCAGACGUGCCAGUCUAGAGGCGGAUAGAGGGGUGCGGAAUUCCGGGUGUAGCGGUGAAAUGUGUAGAGAUCCGGAGGAACACCAGUGGUGCAAACGGCGCCCUGGGUCCGAACUGACGCUGGAUGCACGAAAGCGUGGGGAGCGAACGGG